rnacentral:rRNA from 1 species
CCCUUAGAUGUUCUGGGCCGCACGCGUGCUACACUGAGUAAUUCAAUGGGUAAGGGAACGCUAGAGCAUUACCUAAUCUUGAAAUUUGCUCGUGAUGGGGAUCGACGGUUGCAAUUUUCCGUCGUGAACGAGGAAUACCUUGUAGGCGCAUGUCAUCAUCAUGCGCCGAAUACGUCCCUGCCCUUUGUACACACCGCCCGUCGCUCCUACCGAUUGAGUGAUCCGGUGAGGCUCUGGGACCUGGACGGAAAGAGCGUUUCGCUUGUUCUGUUUGGGAAACUUGGUCGAACCUUAUCAUUUAGAGGAAGGAGAAGUCGUAACG